UACGAAGGGUGCAAGCGUUACUCGGAAUUACUGGGCGUAAAGCGUGCGUAGGUGGUUUGUUAAGUCUGUUGUGAAAGCCCCGGGCUCAACCUGGGAAUGGCAAUGGAUACUGGCAAGCUAGAGUGCGGUAGAGGGUAGUGGAAUUCCCGGUGUAGCGGUGAAAUGCGUAGAGAUCGGGAGGAACACCAGUGGCGAAGGCGGCUACCUGGACCAGCACUGACACUGAGGCACGAAAGCGUGGGGAGCAAACAG
rnacentral:rRNA from 1 species